rnacentral:rRNA from 1 species
UACGUAGGGGGCUAGCGUUGUCCGGAUUUAUUGGGCGUAAAGAGCGUGUAGGCGGCCAGGUAGGUCCGGUGUGAAAACUCGAGGCUUAACCUCGAGAUGUCAUCGGAAACCAUCUGGCUAGAGUCCGGAAGAGGAAAGUGGAAUUCCUGGCGUAGCGGUGAAAUGCGCAGAUAUCAGGAGGAACACCGGUGGCGAAGGCGGGUCUCUGGGCCGAUACUGACGCUGAGGAGCGAAAGCGUGGGGAGCGAACAGG